rnacentral:rRNA from 1 species
UGGGGAAUAUUGCACAAUGGGCGCAAGCCUGAUGCAGCCAUGCCGCGUGUGUGAAGAAGGCCUUCGGGUUGUAAAGCACUUUCAGCGAGGAGGAAGGUGGUGAGCUUAAUACGCUCAUCAAUUGACGUUACUCGCAGAAGAAGCACCGGCUAACUCCGUGCCAGCAGCCGCGGUAAUACGGAGGGUGCAAGCGUUAAUCGGAAUUACUGGGCGUAAAGCGCACGCAGGCGGUUUGUUAAGUCAGAUGUGAAAUCCCCGGGCUCAACCUGGGAACUGCAUUUGAAACUGGCAAGCUAGAGUCUCGUAGAGGGGGGUAGAAUUCCAGGUGUAGCGGUGAAAUGCGUAGAGAUCUGGAGGAAUACCGGGGGCGAAGGCGGCCCCCUGGACGAAGACUGACGCUCAGGUGCGAAAGCGUGGGGAGCAAAACAGGAUUAGAUACCCUGGUAGUCCACGCUGUAAAACGAUGUCGAUUUUGGAGGUUGUGCCCUUGAGGCGUGGCUUCCGGAGCUAACGCGUUAAAUCGACCGCCUGGGGAGUACGGCCGCAAGGUUAAAACUUAAAUGAAUUGACGGGGUCAUAGCUGUUUCCU